UUCCCGCGAUUUUCCUGCUGCUUUCCUUCCUGAGCACAGUAAGUUCAAGAUGGCUAAUGCUGUUGUCUGGUUAUGCCAAGAACUUCCUAAAUGCCACUGGGCUUUCAUCAUGAAGACGGAUGGCAAAACCAUCAAAGAAGCUGCUAAAAUUGAACAGCUAUAGAAGUGAAGGCAGAUAACUGAAACAGUUCUGUGGAAGGCAGAAGGACGCUCACAGAAAGACUGUGAAAGGUGAAAUUGAUCCCUCGGUUUGUUCAUAACAGUGAGAAAGAGAUUUCACAUAAUUCUGCUCAACGUACAAAUACUGAAGAUGAAUGUAAAAGUAUUAAGGUUAACAAAAAUGGGAUAAAAUACUCUUAUACCUACAAAGCCCUUUUCAACAUGGAUUGCCUUUUCUGGGAAAAACAGACUCAAGUGUCUUGUUGAUAAAUGGACCAGUUUUCCCCAUAUACAGCCAGUCCAUUCAUUCCUAGGCAUAGUGUAUGUAAUCUACUCGCCAGCUGCUCUGUGAAAACACAUACCUAUGAGUCUUCGUUGGGGCGGAAGCUGCACAGCUGUCUGAUCCGCAAAUCUGCACAGAAUCAUGUGUUCCUAAAAGAAAAAGCAAUAGAACGUGGGUCUAUUUUAAUCUUCUGUUUCAAAACUGUAAAAAUUAUUAAAACCACCUCACUUUUCUGGAGUUCUACAGUUUAAGUGAAUAAAGUACUGCACAAGUAAUAGGUCUGAAAGAACCACAUUUUCAGGAAGUGGUACUCAGUAACUUUUCCCCCUUUCAAGGAGAAUGUUCUCCUGACCCAGUUCUUAAGAAUGGACGCCAGGAAAAGCCUCUGGCCACCCAGCCAGUUUCUUUGAGCAAAAAUAAGGUUACAGUGUGUGAUUGUCACGUGUUAAAUGAAAAGACCAAAAAGUCACUUCUAUUUUUCCUUUAAUAAAAUUUGAAUCUCAGGAACGUGGUUCCAAGAAGACAGUCGAAGUGGCUUUUCUUCCUCCUGCCAGGGGAAAAGGAAGUACUGGGGAAGAUCAUCACUACGUGUGGGUUCUGUAGUUCUGUGGUUCUCUGGGAUACCCAGCAGAGUGCUGGCUGCUCGGACACUUUUCUGGCCUUUUCCCUUGUCCCUCUAGAGGAGAGAAAGCUGGCUCACUCACUCUCCUCUCACUCGAAAGAGCUGGAGGAGCAUCUACUUCUACUUUAAGGGCAACCAUAAGAAUAACCUGAGCGAGUGGGAGGAAAAUUAUUGUUCAGCUUGACCAUUUUAGGAAAGACUGCUUUCAUGCAAAAAGAACAAGCCUUCAUAGGGGCAGAGAGCUGAUGAGUCCACACAGGGCUCUGAAAUCUGUGAGCAGCCAAAGGUGAGUGCUCGGGCAGAGUGGGGAUACUGCAGUACUACAUGACAGCUGUUCACUCGGAACAGAUGAAGGGUCCCUGUGUGUAAAUGAUCUCACCUGGCAGCUUAGCCAAAGGCUUGAACUCUGAUUGCUCAUUUGUCCCCUUUAGUCUUUUGUACAUUCACCUUGAGGCUUCCAUUUUUUAAAAUAAGGUAAUUGAGGUGACUGUGUGAUCUUGGUUCUUUUUUGAAGGGUUACUUCUGUCUCAACUUUUAUGCAUUAAAACAACAAUAUUGUAAUGCUCACUAUAAAAUUUAGUGGCCAAUGGAUAGGACACUAAUAAAAUGGUUCAAAUGAGUAACUUGUAUUAAGCAGCCAUGAACUGGCAUCAACAAAAGGGCAAAGGAAGGAUUUAGAAUUAUAGAAUUUGAAGAAAAGGCCAGAAAAAGCAUGCCCUUUGUCUUCAUCGUGUGUGAAAGUCAAGAUCUCUUAACGUUGAGGCAAUCACCUUUGGUGUCUUCACCAGAUUUUACUGGAAUUAUUUGCAGAUGUGUUCUCCCCACUAGAAGUUAAAUUCUGGAAAGGGAAGGCACCGAGCAACAAGUCAGUUCAAGGUUUUCUGGCUAAACUGAACUGUGGAGAAAAACACUUCCAACGUAACUCUCAAGAUAUUUGGGCACGGCCUCCGUUUAGUUCUGCCUGGCAGCCCACCUAUCAUGGUUCAGUUAAGAAAUAUCUUGCCACAGUAUCCAGGAAGUUCAGACCUCUCUCUGGUGCCUAAAUACCUGUGACCCUCAAAAGGGUUGAUGGCCAAGCAGCUUUGGGGGUGUGGGAGAAGGUGUAGACAAAGGUGAACUGGGUACCAGUGAUUUUUCUGCUCUCUGGAAGAGCCUGGGUGCCCUGUUGCUACUCUUUAGAAAUGUUAUAUUCUUUAGAAAUGUUUUAUUUCUUUUCUAGCCCGUGAGACUGUGGCACCUGACCUCUUCACUGACCUAGGUUUUUACCAUGCAUCCUCUCAGUUUGUUUUUAGCUAGCAUCACUCAAAGAGGCAUUAAAAACAGGGGCCUAGUUUUUGUUCAUUUUCCAACUCAUUGUCUACUUUAUUGGCAGGGUCUUAUAAAAGAAAGGUAAGGUGUUUUGAAUCUUAGAAGAUAAAGUUCCCUGGCUCCUGAUGUUUUCCAAAAAACCUUAGAGUUCCCUAAGACAUACAAACUUUAAAAUCCAGUAGGCAAAGACCAGGAAAGUCUGGUUCUGGAUGAGCAUCAGCACUCUUCCUCUGUAGGUUUCUGUGUAUGUUCAGAGCAGGGGGAGGGGUAAGGAGAGGGGAAGGGAGGGUGGGAGACAGAGUU